UAUAAAAGGACAUGUAUUUUCAGGUAACAUUUGCACGAGGACGUUACGAAGACUUAUAGUGUGAACAGCAAAUCUUUCACAAUGGGAAAGUUGGCUGUGGUUUGGAUUCUGACUUUAUUUGUAGUUUACAUUGUUGCAGGAGGCCCAGUGACUGAAGAGCCAAACGGUGAAAACGAUAGUGAAAACGAUGAUAGUUUAAUCGGUGUUCAGCCAGUAAAAUCAAAUAAAGGUGUGCAAUCAGUAAAAUCAAACAAAAGUGUGCAGUCAGUAAUAUCAAAUAAAGGUGUGCAGCCAGUAAAAUCAAAUAAAGGUGUGCAGUCAGUAAGAUCAAAUAAAGGUGUGCAGCCAGUAAGAUCAAAUAAAGGUGUGCAGUCAGUAAGAUCAAAUAAAGGUGUGCAGUCAGUAAGAUCAAAUAAAGGUGUGCAGCCAGUAAAAUCAAAUAAAGGUGUGCAGCCAGUAAAAUCAAAUAAAGGUGUGCAGCCAGUAAAAUCAAAUAAAGGUGGUCCGCGAUUUAUACUAUAUAAUAGGAGAUUUAGAAGAUGGGUUCUUGAUUCUGACAGUUCGGAUUUCAGUUCCGAUAACUCUGAUGAUGCAAGGAGGUCAAACACAUCACCCGAUGGUUGAAGUUCUAGUAGCUGUGGGAGUGACAAUGAUUGGGAUAGUGACGAAUAACAUUCAACUGUAACAUUGAUUUUUCUAAAUAAAAUAAAACAAAACUUAA